UGGGGAAUAUUGGACAAUGGGCGAAAGCCUGAUCCAGCCAUGCCGCGUGUGUGAAGAAGGUCUUCGGAUUGUAAGGCACUUUAAGUUGGGAGGAAGGGCAUUAACCUAAUACGUUAGUGUUUUGACGUUACCGACAGAAUAAGCACCGGCUAACUCUGUGCCAGCAGCCGCGGUAAUACAGAGGGUGCAAGCGUUAAUCGGAAUUACUGGGCGUAAAGCGCGCGUAGGUGGUUUGUUAAGUUGGAUGUGAAAUCCCCGGGCUCAACCUGGGAACUGCAUUCAAAACUGACUGACUAGAGUAUGGUAGAGGGUGGUGGAAUUUCCUGUGUAGCGGUGAAAUGCGUAGAUAUAGGAAGGAACACCAGUGGCGAAGGCGACCACCUGGACUAAUACUGACACUGAGGUGCGAAAGCGUGGGGAGCAAACA
rnacentral:rRNA from 1 species